AGAUUGAGGAGAAGCUCGACUCCGUUAAGAUUAACGACGUCGUUUCUGCGGAUCCCGUCGAUCGAAAAGCCGACUCUCAUUCUCAGAGUGUUGGUGAAACUGAAAAUGGAUCUGCUGAGAAGAAAUGCUGAAGAGUGCAGAUGUGAUGCUCUGAGCUAAAUCAAAGCUUUUGACAGUGUGGAGAGAAAGCAAUUGAAUGAAAGAGCUUUUAAGCUGAUAGGAUUUUGUUUCUAUUAUUUUCUUUUUAUGUUUGUUUUUUUCCUUCCACUAAUUUAAUUUUAUUGCAGCAGACAAUAUCAUAGCAGUUUUGGUAAUGACUUGUUGUUGGGUACUCGGUUG